AUGAACGCUGGCGGCGUGCCUCAUACCUGCAAGUCGAGCGCACAGACGAGGAGCUUGCUCCUCUGACGUUAGCGGCGGACGGGUGAGUAACACGUGGAUAACCUACCUAUAGGACUGGGAUAACUUCGGGAAACCGGAGCUAAUACCGGAUAAUAUAUUGAACUGCAUGGUUCAAUAGUGAAAGACGGUUUUGCUGUCACUUAUAGAUGGAUCCGCGCCGCAUUAGCUAGUUGGUAAGGUAACGGCUUACCAAGGCAACGAUGCGUAGCCGACCUGAGAGGGUGAUCGGCCACACUGGAACUGAGACACGGUCCAGACUCCUACGGGAGGCAGCAGUAGGGAAUCUUCCGCAAUGGGCGAAAGCUUGACGGAGCAACGCCGCGUGAGUGAUGAAGGUCUUCGGAUCGUAAAACUCUGUUAUUAGGGAAGAACAAAUGUGUAAGUAACUAUGCACGUCUUGACGGUACCUAAUCAGAAAGCCACGGCUAACUACGUG
rnacentral:rRNA from 1 species